UACAGAGGGUGCGAGCGUUAAUCGGAAUUACUGGGCGUAAAGCGCACGUAGGUGGCGACGUAAGUCGAGUGUGAAAGCCCCGGGCUCAACCUGGGAAUUGCAUUCGAGACUGCAUUGCUGGAGUACGGAAGAGGAAGGCGGAAUUCCCGGUGUAGCGGUGAAAUGCGUAGAUAUCGGGAGGAACAUCAGUGGCGAAGGCGGCCUUCUGGUCCAGUACUGACACUCAAGUGCGAAAGCGUGGGGAGCAAACAGG
rnacentral:rRNA from 1 species